GAUGAACGCUGGCGGCGUGCCUAAUACAUGCAAGUCGAGCGAACGGACGAGAAGCUUGCUUCUCUGAUGUUAGCGGCGGACGGGUGAGUAACACGUGGAUAACCUACCUAUAAGACUGGGAUAACUUCGGGAAACCGGAGCUAAUACCGGAUAAUAUUUUGAACCGCAUGGUUCAAAAGUGAAAGACGGUCUUGCUGUCACUUAUAGAUGGAUCCGCGCUGCAUUAGCUAGUUGGUAAGGUAACGGCUUACCAAGGCAACGAUGCAUAGCCGACCUGCGAGGGUGAUCGGCCACACUGGAGCUGGGACACGGUCCAGAGUCCUACGGGAGGCAGCAGUAGGGAAUCUUCCGCAAUGGGCGAAAGCCUGACGGAGCAGCGCCGCGUGAGUGAUGAAGGUCUUCGGAUCGUAAAACUCUGUUAUUAGGGAAGAACAUAUGUGUAAGUAACUGUGCACAUCUUGACGGUACCUAAUCAGAAAGCCACGGCUAACUACGUG
rnacentral:rRNA from 1 species